rnacentral:rRNA from 1 species
UACGAGGAGGGCUAGCGUUGUCCGGAAUCAUUGGGCGUAAAGCGCGCGUAGGCGGCCCGGUAAGUCCGUUGUGAAAGUCAAAGGCUCAACCUUUGAAAGCCGAUGGAUACUGCCGGGCUGGAGUCCGGAAGAGGCGAGUGGAAUUCCUGGUGUAGCGGUGGAAUGCGCAGAUAUCAGGAGGAACACCAAUAGCGAAGGCAGCUCGCUGGGACGGUAUUGACGCUGAGGCGCGAAAGCGUGGGGAGCAAACAGG